rnacentral:rRNA from 1 species
AACGAACGCUGGCGGCAUGCCUAACACAUGCAAGUCGAACGAGACCUUCGGGUCUAGUGGCGCACGGGUGCGUAACGCGUGGGAACCUGCCCUUAGGUUCGGAAUAACUCCCCGAAAGGGGUGCUAAUACCGGAUAAUGUCUUCGGACCAAAGAUUUAUCGCCUUUGGAUGGGCCCGCGUUGGAUUAGCUAGUUGGUAGGGUAAAAGCCUACCAAGGCGACGAUCCAUAGCUGGUCUGAGAGGAUGAUCAGCCACACUGGGACUGAGACACGGCCCAGACUCCGACGGGAGGCAGCAGUGGGGAAUAUUGGACAAUGGGCGAAAGCCUGAUCCAGCAAUGCCGCGUGAGUGAUGAAGGCCUUAGGGUUGUAAAGCUCUUUUACCCGGGAUGAUAAUGACAGUACCGGGAGAAUAAGCACCGGCUAACUCCGUG